UAUUAAGCAAUGAAUAGGAUGAGUAGAUUUAUUAUAGCUAUUUUAGAGAAAAAGUGGUUGGUGAAAACUUUAUGGCUGUAUAUCUUGAAGCUGCCUAGGAGCUUAUUGAUUACUAAGUGGUGUAUGAAAUUCGUACGCAAUUAGGGUGGUACCGCGGAAUUUAAGCUUUCGUCCCUAUU
rnacentral:ncRNA from 1 species